AACCGGCUGCAGGAGCGCCCGCGAUGCCGCCCGCGGUGUCGCCCGACAUUCCGCCACAGGCUCCGUUUUCUGCCCUAGCUAGUUUUAUGAACAGCUCGUUAAGCUCACUGAUCCUUUCUGUUCACAGGGUGUAUUUACAUCAUUAUUAUGUUCGGAUUAACCUGAGAAUUGACGACCAAACAAUCUUUCAUUGCUUCAUGCAUAUAGAGCUUCCACAAAUAUGCUCGACAAUUGGCGGCCGAUUUUUCUUUCAAAAUUUCAUGCUUCCAGCUAACACUAAUAUCGCACCCGUUGUACUAUUUUCCAGCGUCUCACCUGGAUGCUUUCACAUUGUAAUUUUUUUGGCACCCGAGGACUAUGCUUCCAGUAUCAACAACAAUUCCGUUCCAUCAUCAUCUGUCCCCACGCAAAGAUUAUUAUCAAUAUGAUGUUUCCAGUAACCAUGCUUUGUAAGCUACGUUGCAGGGAUAUGGCGAGGAGGUGCCGUAUCGGUGCAGAAUACUGCACCGGGACGGGGAUACGCACAGAUACGCCUGGAUACGCGUAUCCCAAAGUAUCCCAUUUUUUGAAUUAAAAUAAAGAGCAAAAAAAUCAGAAAACGGCUGGGACACGCAUGAGAUACAUGAGCCAUACGUACGGGCCUGUUACAGCCCAUCGAAAGGCCUGCUCGAUGGAUGACAAAACAUCCUAAUCGCCUGUAAUCCUCUCGCCUCUCCUGGCAGUUGCCACAUCGCGAGGAAUCGAAGUCUCUGCGACGCAUCUAAGCUCCGUCUGGGCGCCGCCAGCAGCGCCUCGCCGCUCGUCUUCAAGUGUUCGUCAAUUGUCCAUCUAAAGAAUCUGGAAUGGCGUCUAGGUUGAACAUUUAAUCCUCUGUCGCUCGUUCUGGGAUCGGGUCUAGGAGUAACACCGCUGAUGAUUCAGAUCACCAUGAAUGAAAGUCUAUUUUCAUAUCCUCAAGGUACAGACAUAGACAUAUAUGGAGGCGACUGAUGCAUGCACUAUGAAGUGUGUGAUAACACUUGGAUCCGCCCUACAAUGAGGAUGACCACAAGCGAAGGGAAGCAUGUCUAUGGUCUGUAGGGAACAUACGGUGUUGACUUAAGGAGGCAUAGUGCGCACUGUUGGUGACUUGAACGAAAUAAAUUUGUAUCAUGUUUGAAAAUUAUUGUAUGAACGAACGAAGCAGGAACCAAACUUAUAUUCGGUUAGAAGCAAAUUAAUUUUACCAUGGAAGCACUUUUGUAUUGGAUGGAAGCAAAGUUUUCCUUAGUUGGAAGCUUGAUAAAAAAAUAUAUGCUGGGACGCAAAUUUAUGAUGGGGAAAGAAAUUCUUAGAUGCAAAAUUUUGUUACACGGA